rnacentral:rRNA from 1 species
CCUACGGGAGGCAGCAGUGGGGAAUUUUGGACAAUGGGCGCAAGCCUGAUCCAGCCAUGCCGCGUGCGGGAAGAAGGCCUUCGGGUUGUAAACCGCUUUUGUCAGGGAAGAAACGGUCUGGGUUAAUACCCUGGGCUAAUGACGGUACCUGAAGAAUAAGCACCGGCUAACUACGUGCCAGCAGCCGCGGUAAUACGUAGGGUGCAAGCGUUAAUCGGAAUUACUGGGCGUAAAGCGUGCGCAGGCGGUUGUGCAAGACAGAUGUGAAAUCCCCGGGCUCAACCUGGGAACUGCAUUUGUGACUGCACAGCUAGAGUACGGUAGAGGGGGAUGGAAUUCCGCGUGUAGCAGUGAAAUGCGUAGAUAUGCGGAGGAACACCGAUGGCGAAGGCAAUCCCCUGGACCUGUACUGACGCUCAUGCACGAAAGCGUGGGGAGCAAACAGGAUUAGAUACCCUGGUAGUCCACGCCCUAAACGAUGUCAACUGGUUGUUGGGAAGGUUCCUUCUCAGUAACGAAGCUAACGCGUGAAGUUGACCGCCUGGGGAGGACGGCGCGAGUAGUUAACGUUACGAAAGAAGUUAGUAGGCGNGAGAGNGCGACGGACGACGACGAGGGAGGAGG